ACGUCUCUCCCGUACCAGGAAGAGACGCGAACAUGUCACCUCUGGAGGGAUCGAGCCUCGCAAAGCACACAGUUGGGAUGCUAACGUGUCAAACUCAACGGCUGCUCGUGUUGUGCUCGUCCGUUAGCUUGACCCAAAAGGCGGAUACAACUUUUUGUCUGCUGCUCGGCCCUGAGCCCCGGUCGCCACCACAGUUUCGCAGCAUCGCUAACACCCACCCUCCUCCUCCGGUGCUUAACACGGAGCCGUGUCCACUUUAGCCCCCUCGCGCCACGUCAAUUAAACACGUAGACGUUUUCUGCUGAAUCCCAAACGCGGGGCGAGCGGAGACGGGAAGCUAGCGGCGGCAGGCUAGCCAGCUAACGGGCUGUGUUGCCCUGCCGGACGCCGCGACGCUGCUUCUGCGGGAUGAGAGCCCGGCGGAUCACAAGUGAGACGGGUGAAUGACGUGUCUCAAAUGUGACGCCGAGAGGAGAAAAAAAACAACACAACUCACCCAGUGCCACCUCGCAGGCUUUGCGCAGCUGGGAGUGAUGCGCCUUCUUCACCUCCUUGUCGGCCAGGAUCUUCUCCAGAGCGCGUUACCGUGGUCCAGCUGAAGUCAUAUCCAUCCACAUUGAAGACAGGCAUGAUGUAGAAGUUGAGCUGGUUGAGCAGGCGUCUCAUCACAGAGUCGUACUGCCUUUGUCUCUAAAGCCUUCUGUCCUACCUGAAGCACAUAGAGCGGCCUUCCUUCGUACGACUUCCCGAUGGAGAACAUGUCGACCAGGUCCGGUUGGGUUCUGUUCAUGUCAAACAUCCACCUCUGGAUCUUAAGGGCGUAAAGUAAUGUCAAAAAUGAAAUGUAUUUUACAAAACUGUCAAUAAAGUUUUCAGGAAUAACUUAAA